UACGUAGGUGGCAAGCGUUGUCCGGAUUUAUUGGGUUUAAAGGGUGCGUAGGCGGCUUAUUAAGUCAGUGGUGAAAUACUCUAGCUCAACUAGAGGGGUGCCAUUGAUACUGAUGAGCUUGAGUACAGAUGAGGUAGGCGGAAUUGACGGUGUAGCGGUGAAAUGCGUAGAUAUCUGGAGGAACACCGGUGGCGAAGGCGGCAUCCUGGACCGAUACUGACGCUGAGGAGCGAAAGCCAGGGGAGCAAACGGG
rnacentral:rRNA from 1 species